AGAGUUUGAUCCUGGCUCAGAACGAACGCUGGCGGCGUGCUUAACACAUGCAAGUCGAGUGCGCGUACCGUAGCAAUACGGUAUGGCGCACGGCGCACGGGUGCGUAACACGUGGGCAAUCUGCCCUUCGAUGGGGAAUAUCUUCGGGAAACCGAAGCGAAUUCCGCAUAACAUUCCUUGGACUUCGGUUCGAGGACUCAAAGCCGUAAGGCGUCGAAGGAGGAGCCCGCGCACGAUUAGCUAGUUGGUAGGGUAACGGCCUACCAAGGCUUUGAUCGUUAGCUGGUCUGAGAGGAUGGCCAGCCACACUGGAACUGAGACACGGUCCAGACUCCUACGGGAGGCAGCAGUGGGGAAUCUUGCACAAUGGGCGAAAGCCUGAUGCAGCGACGCCGCGUGGGGGAUGAAGCAUCUCGGUGUGUAAACCCCUUUCGACCCGGAAGAAUGCCUCGCAAGAGGACUGACGGUACGGGUAUAAGAAGCCCCGGCUAACUACGUGCCAGCAGCCGCGGUAAGACGUAGGGGGCCAGCGUUGUUCGGAAUUACUGGGUGUAAAGGGUUCGUAGGCGGUGCGGCAAGUUGGGAGUGAAAUCUCUGGGCUCAACCCAGAGGCUGCUUCCAAAACUGCUGUGCUGGAGUGUGGGAGAGGCGCGUGGAAUUGCAGGUGUAGCGGUGAAAUGCGUAGAUAUCUGCAGGAACACCCGUGGCGAAAGCGGCGCGCUGGACCACAACUGACGCUAGGAACGAAAGCUAGGGGAGCAAACAGGAUUAGAUAC
rnacentral:rRNA from 1 species